ensembl:ncRNA lncRNA:CR43705 long non-coding RNA:CR43705
UGCGAUGUGUCUAUAAACACCUUUUGUGUGCAGCGCGUAAUGCUCAAAAUAUUUUCCAGCUAAAGGUGCGAAAAUCAUUUGGCAUCGCCAGACGAAACUCCCACACAAUGCCCAUUAUUGGGUGAUCGACAGGAUAAAGAGAUCGUGCGAGUGAAUGGGAGCAGACAGGAUAGCGACAAGGUGACACCUUGCAAAACGCAUUGUUGGCCGUUUCGGGAUUACAGAUGGACGAUGACGUUUGCUAAAUAUCCUGGAGCGUCCCGUCUCUUUUUGCGAGAAGUUAAGCAAUUUGUUGAGCGUCGACGGGACAAACAAUGGGCUACAAUGGAAGGCCAUUGAAAAACUAUUGAAAACGAUGGGCUGGCCAGCCACAAAUGGUUAUGCAAGAAGUUACUGGUGAGCACAACGAUUUGAGAGGAGCUAUGGAAAAUUGAGUAAUAGUCGCAGAUUAUCGCAAAGUGCUUGGAAAUUCCGGGUAUCUACGGUUAUUAUAAUGCUGGAUGAUGCAAAAAAGGGAACUCAGAUGAAAUGUGAGGAGCUACUUAAAAAGUAUUAGCCAGGAAAGCCAGGAAGUAGUU